AAGUCGUAACAAAAUUUCCGUAGGUGAACCUGCGGAAGGAUCAUUAACACGUAUCCAACGUUAAACCCCCCGUGAACUUUUAUUGCGAACCACGCCUUUGUUAAAAAGUAGCAAUCCCUGGUAAAUCAUCGCCGAACAGUUUUGAUUCAGGGAUCUCUGCGAAGAGAGCGGUUGUAGCGCGAGGUAAGUGGCCUGGCAUUCCUCUGACAGUGUCACUAGCUCUGUACGAAUGGCGCAGUCACGAUCGCUAGAGGCCGACACGGCGACCGGGUCACCGGGCAUAGACCCCCCUAUCACCUUUGCAUGAAAACGGGGGUGCGCUUAAUUGUGCGACCACCAAACUCGAACAACUGUUAACAAUGGAUAUCUUGGUUCUC
rnacentral:misc_RNA from 1 species